rnacentral:rRNA from 1 species
GACGAACGCUGGCGGCGUGCUUAACACAUGCGAGUCGAACGGAAAGGCCCUGCUUUUGUGGGGUGCUCGAGUGGCGAACGGGUGAGUAACACGUGAGUAACCUGCCCCUGACUUUGGGAUAACUUCAGGAAACUGGGGCUAAUACCGGAUAGGAGCUCCUGCUGCAUGGUGGGGGUUGGAAAGUUUCGGCGGUUGGGGAUGUACUCGCGGCUUAUCAGAUUGUUGGUGGGGUAGUGGCUUACCAAGGCUUUGACGGGUAGCCGGCCUGAGAGGGUGACCGGCCACAUUGGGACUGAGAUACGGCCCAGACUCCUACGGGAGGCAGCAGUGGGGAAUAUUGCACAAGGGGCGGAAGCCUGAUGCAGCAACGCCGCGUGCGGGAUGACGGCAUUCGGGUUGUAAACCGCUUUCGCCUGUGACGAAGCGUGAGUGACGGUAAUGGGUAGAGAAGCACCGGCUAACUACGUG